UACGAAGGGGGCGAGCGUUGUUCGGAUUUACUGGGCGUAAAGGGCGCGUAGGCGGCGCCGCAAGUCGAGUGUGAAAGCCCCGGGCUCAACCUGGGAAUGGCGCUCGAGACUGUGGUGCUGGAGUUCGGGAGAGGAGCGUGGAAUUCCCAGUGUAGAGGUGAAAUUCGUAGAUAUUGGGAAGAACACCGGUGGCGAAGGCGGCGCUCUGGACCGAGACUGACGCUGAGGCGCGAAGGCGUGGGGAGCAAACAGG
rnacentral:rRNA from 2 species